rnacentral:tRNA from 1 species
GAGGGUAUAGCUCAGUUGGUAGAGUGCAUGCUUAGCAUGCAGGAGGUCCUGGGUUCAAUCCCCGGUACCUCCA